rnacentral:rRNA from 1 species
CAGUCGCCACGGUAAUACGAGGGGGGCAAGCGUUGUUCGGAAUUAUUGGGCGUAAAGGGUGCGUAGGCGGUUUGGCAAGUUUGGUGUGAAAUCUUCGGGCUCAACUCGAAGUCUGCAUCGAAAACUGCCGGGCUUGAGUAUGGGAGAGGUGAGUGGAAUUUCCGGUGUAGCGGUGAAAUGCGUAGAUAUCGGAAGGAUCACCUGUGGCGAAAGCGGCUAACUGGUCCAUAACUGACGCUGAGGUGCGAAAGCGUGGGGAGCAAACAGGAUUAGAUACCCGAGUAGUCCCUGUCUCUUAUAA